rnacentral:rRNA from 1 species
UACGGAGGGUGCGAGCGUUGUCCGGAAUCAUUGGGCGUAAAGGGCGCGUAGGUGGCCCGGUCAGUUCGUGGUGAAAGCGCGGGGCUCAACCCUGCGUCGGCCAUGAAUACUGCCGCGGCUGGAGCACUGUAGAGGCAGGCGGAAUUCCGGGUGUAGCGGUGGAAUGCGUAGAGAUCCGGAAGAACACCGGUGGCGAAGGCGGUCUGCUGGGGUGAGGCUGACGCUGAGGCGCGACAGCGUGGGGAGCAAACAGG